GCCGGCCCCCUCCGUCGCCACCAUCCUCCUCAUCCCACUGGAUCCGGACGAGACGUAGUGUGCCCUUCUCGUUCCUUAAUUGGCUCCGUACGAUCUGGAUUCCUCUUGCAGCCGCUGCCGGCGCGAGUGGAAUCAGACCGUGGCCGGAGGAGCUGACCGGAUUCGUUGGGAUCGUUAUGUCCGACUGUCAGGCACCUAACAGGAUGACACCGACCCCACGAUGCAGGGGCAGUUAACUGGGGUCGACCUCCAGUCGCUCAAAGCCAAGUUCCUGUAUAUGAAUUAGGCAGAGAUAUCGUUCUACGUGAAGCACAUAAACACUUACCUCCGCGAAGAUCCAUUUCUGAAGAACUACUUGCCAAUGGACCCAACUGGAAACCAGCUGUUCGAUCUCAUCAGGGACGGUGUUCUUCUCUGCUGUACCUGGGACCAUUGAUGAGAGAGCAAUAAAUAAGAAGACAAGUCUUAACCUAUAGGAGAGAAAUGAAAAUCAUACACUCUGCCUCAAUUCUGCCAAGGCCAUUGGAUACACUGUUGUCAACAUUGGUGCACAUGAUUUGUUGGAGGGAAGGGUAUGAUAUGUGCAUCUACUCCAAUUCCUUACUUCUAAACUUAUAUGCUGCAGUUUAAUUUAUUCAGGGAAGUUAAGUGAUGGUGUUCAUGAACUAUCUGGCCUACUGGUUGUUAAGUUAGAUACUAAACUUCUUUGGCUACUACUUUAUCCCUAUCUCUCUCUCUCUCUCUCUGUUCAGUACAUGCCCCUAUAUGUUCUUUGAUUGUUUGCUGCAUGUUAUCAUCUCCUAUCCGGUUAUAUACAUUUAUCACCUUCUCACGUGGACUCAUUAUCACUCUGAAUUCUCACUCUCAAUUCUCGACGUUUAUUCAAACAGUCCAUUGACAGA